rnacentral:rRNA from 1 species
AUUGAACGCUGGCGGCAUGCCUUACACAUGCAAGUCGAACGGCAGCACAGGGGCAACCCUGGUGGCGAGUGGCGAACGGGUGAGUAAUACAUCGGAACGUGUCCUGGAGUGGGGGAUAGCCCGGCGAAAGCCGGAUUAAUACCGCAUACGCUCUGAGGAGGAAAGGGGGGAUCGCAAGACCUCCCGCUCAAGGGGCGGCCGAUGGCAGAUUAGGUAGUUGGUGGGGUAAAGGCCUACCAAGCCGACGAUCUGUAGCUGGUCUGAGAGGAC